GUUCAACAGCCCAGAGGGAGUUAGGUUCAACAGCCCAGAGAGAGUUAGGUUCAACAGCCCAGAGGGAGUUAGGUUCAACAGCCCAGAGGGAGUUAGGUUCAACAGCCCAGAGGGAGUUAGGUUCAACAGCAUGUCAACCCAAGACAAAGCCAAGAGGGAGUUAGGUUCAACAGCCCAGAGAGAGUUAGUUUCAACAGCCCAGAGGGAGUUAGGUUCAACAGCCCAGAGAGAGUUAGGUUCAACAGCCCAGAGGGAGUUAGGUUCAACAGCCCAGAGGGAGUUAGGUUCAACAGCAUGUCAACCCUCACACGCCUUGUGCUUGUUCUGUGUAAAUGUGUGUGUGUGUAAAUGUUUGUGUGUGGUGUGUGUGUGUGUGUGUGUGUGUAAAUGUUUUUGCGGUGUGUGUGUGUGUAAAUGUUUUUGCGGUGUGUGUGUGUGUAAAUGUUUUUGCGGUGUGUGUGUGUGUGUGUAAAUGUUUGUGUGGUGUUUGUGUGGUGUGUGUGUGUAAAUGUUUGUGUGGUGUGUGUGUGUAAAUGUUUGUGUGGUGUGUGUGUAAAUGUUUUUGCGGUGUGUGUGUAAAUGUUUUUGCGGUGUGUGUGUACAUGUUUUUGCGGUGUGUGUGUAAAUGUUUUUGCGGCGUGUGUGUGUGUGUGUGUGUAAAUGUUUAUGUGGUGUGUGUGUGUAAAUGUUUAUGUGGUGUGUGUGUGUGUAAAUGUUUGUGUGGUGUGUGUGUGUGUAAAUGUUUUUGCGGUGUGUGUGUGUGUAAAUGUUUUUGCGGUGUGUGUGUGUGUGUAAAUGUUUGUGUGGUGUGUGUGUGUGUGUGUAAAUGUUUGUGUGGUGUGUGUGUAAAUGUUUUUGCGGUGUGUGUGUAAAUGUUUUUGCGGCGUGUGUGUGUGUGUGUAAAUGUUUAUGUGGUGUGUGUGUGUGUGUGUGUGUGUGUGUGUGUGUGUGUGUGUGUGUGUGUGUGUGUGUGUGUGUGUGUGUUGGCAUGUUAGUAGAACAACAUUGAGAACAACAGUCAGUAUAACUGUAUAAUAUAGACUGGUCUGCAACAGGAAAUAUACCUCCGUUAGACUUAUAUAGGCCUCGG
rnacentral:lncRNA from 1 species